rnacentral:SRP_RNA from 1 species
GCCAGGCAUGGUGGCUCAUGCCUAUAAUCCCAGCACUUUGGGAGGCUGAGGCGGGUGGAUCACCUGAGGCCAGGAGUUUGAGACCAGCCUGGCCAACAUGGUGAAACCCCGUCUCUA